AAAUGUGACAGUACAAUGCGAAAAAAAUAGAAGUCAAAGGAAUUUGUAACUGGCUGCUACAUCGGUAGGCUCGAUUUAUCUUUAGAAAAUGACGAUAUCUAACAUUGACGGGGUGAAAUCUAUCCAAGUCAGAGAAAAUCGGAUAGCCGCCAUGUUGUCAACAUUGAUAUCGAUACAAAGGAAAAGCGUGUGUGUGACGGAUACUGUAAAUGCAAACAAGGGUAAGUUUAACUUUUAAAGGGUUUAACACCGGUCCUUCUUACAGUAUUGUUGAAACAAAGAUUAAAUCAUCGCACAAUAUGAGUAAAUCAUAAAUGGCCCGAAUGGGGAACCCGGAAGUGACAUUAAAUAACAGUUACAUGCCAGCUAUACAGUAUUACCUUGUAUUCUAUAGUAUGAGCAGAAAUGGUUUAUUGGAGUUAUGCAUAAAAAGUUUCAGUUCUAAGCGAUUGAACACUCCCCCUUAUGAAUAAUAAUGUAAUAGUUGACAAGUGACAAUCGUGGGUGAUACCAAUCUGUAACUUUUGCUUUGCUCAAACAUUCACAUGCUUUGAUUUUUGUUCUUACAGAAAUUGUGGAACAUGUUCACACUGACUGUAAAAGAAGACCUGGGAGGAAAAUUGCCCCCGGUGUGGUGCUCAAACUCACAACCACCAGAACACUAGCCCGGCGCUCUAACCAACUAAGCUGACCGGGCAGCUGGUUCUAACCCACACACACUACCGCAACAGGGGACCUAGCAUAAGACCGGAAACCGCCCCCCCCACACACAAUAUUUGCCAGUCCAGGCAAUGUCAACCGCAAGAGAAAACCAGUGAUGACAAGUUUUACAAAUAAUCGGAAAGUGUGGUCUUUUGAAGAGAGUUCUUGAAGUUGUUCAGCAUGUUGUUUUGAUGGAUUCUUGGAAGGAUGUACCUCUAUGAUGUUAGCUUCAGUUCUGGAUUAUAACACCAGUUGUUGCAUAUUUAAUAUCAGAUUUAUUAAAUACAUUGUUGUUUUGCAAACAUUACUUAAACUUUGAUAUUUCUUUGGUGUUUAUGUAUGAUAUUGUAGGUGAAUAUCUCUUUAUUGCAAUGGCAAAUAUAUUUUAAAAUAUAUAGCA